CCUACGGGAGGCAGCAGUGAGGAAUAUUGGUCAAUGGGCGGGAGCCUGAACCAGCCAAGUCGCGUGAGGGAAGACGUUCCUAUGGAUUGUAAACCUCUUUAGGCGGGGAGCAAUGCCGGGCACGCGUGCCCGGAGGGAGAGUACCCGCAGAAUAAGCAUCGUCUAACUCCGUGCCAGCAGCCGCGGUAAUACGGAGGAUGCGAGCGUGAUCCGGUUUUAUGGGGUUUAAAGGGUGCGUAGGCGGAUGUAUAAGUCAGCGGUAAAAUGUCCGGGCUCAACCCGGGCCGGCCGUUGAAACGGGGGAUCUUGAGUGGGCGAGAAGUAUGCGGAAUGCGUGGUGUAGCGGUGAAAUGCAUAGAUAGCACGCAGAACUCCGAUUGCGAAGGCAGCAUACCGGCGCCCGACUGACGCUGAGGCACGAAAGCGUGGGGAUCGAACAGGAUUAGAUACCCUGGUAGUC
rnacentral:rRNA from 1 species